UACGUAGGGGGCGAGCGUUGUCCGGAUUUAUUGGGCGUAAAGGGCGCGUAGGCGGUCAGCACAAGUCAGUUGUGAAAUCUCCGGGCUUAACUCGGAAAGGUCAACUGAUACUGUGCGACUAGAGUGCAGAAGGGGCAACUGGAAUUCUCGGUGUAGCGGUGAAAUGCGUAGAUAUUGAGAGGAACACCUGCGGCGAAGGCGGGUUGCUGGGCUGACACUGACGCUGAUGCGCGAAAGCGUGGGGAGCAAACAGG
rnacentral:rRNA from 1 species